GAGGAGGUUCUGGUAACUUCUGGUUUGUAUGUUUCAAGAAUGACUGAAAGACUCAGAAUUGUUGCUGGGCUGGAGGAUCUGGGUUUCCUAAGUAGCAUGUGUACAGUGGGGACACCUUAUAUAGGCGUUUCUUCUAGCAUGGUUAUGCGGGGGUAACAAGAACAAAACAAUGUAUAGCAUAUUCAUAUCCAGCAAGGACAAAAGAGGUCCUUACCUGGGAAAAAGGUUGAAUACAGUGACAGAACAAUAGGAAAACAGUAUUACAGGAAACCUAUUAGUCCUAAGAUUUUUAACUACAUUUACUUGCUUGAUGAGUCCUCAAGCUUUGGCCAUGCGUAGACUAGUCAGCUGCCGGUGUGUGACUAGAGCAGGGCUUGUUGUCUCCUCAAGCUUCAGCCGUGUGUAGACUGGUCAGCCCCCAGAGUGACCAGAGCAGGGCUGUCAUCCUCAGCAGCAGCUUGGUCUCGUCUCAGGAUCAGCCGAGUUGGAUGAUCUGUGUCCUGCUGGCUGGUCCACUUAUCCUGAGCUGCCGGUAUUAGCUGACUGAGGGGAUCCAAGACACAACACCUGCAACUUUAACAGCAGUGGGAGUGGACAAGGUUACAGUAGAGGGCCCAUCCUAUAUGGGUCCUAUUAAAAUUAGAUUUUACUUUAAACAGAGUCACUAGAUUUAAAGGGAUGUCAAGCUUACAGGCAUUUUUAUUUAUUUAAUCAUGAACACUUUGUGUGGCUAUUUUUAAAGCUUGCAUUUGCUUUUUUAAGGUUAAUUCCUUUAGUUUCUGGAGGUCACCUUUAAUUUGACUUAUGAUUUGGGGGUGGCAGACCGAACAAAAUCUUAUAGGGCAAAUACCUAGUUUGUUUGGUGGCAGUGCACCUGACUCGGAGGAGGACCAUAGGCAAAAAUCUGAUUUUAUCUUAAAUGAAUUUCCUGGCAAUAUUUUUUCAGUAGCUGCUCGAGUGUCCAGUUCAUGCGUUCCACCUUUUCUUGAACUUUGUGGCCGAUAGGUUGUGUGUAACUUCUA
rnacentral:lncRNA from 1 species